CUCGGGAUUGUGGUCUGGCUCCUUCAUUGGGGCCAGACCGUGAGAACUUGUCUGAACCUUAUCAUUUAGAGGAAGGUGAAGUCGUAACAAGGUUUCCGUAGGU
rnacentral:rRNA from 1 species